GUUGGCCUGUAAACAAAUUUCAGUGAGAAAAUUUUAAUACUUGUUAAUAGGAAUACUUGUAUUUUAUUAGCUCUAAAAUUUGUAUUUAAAACUGUGUAUAUUUCUUAUAACAGUAUAAUGUUAUGAAAGACAUAUUUUAAGGCUUAAGUAUUUAAGCAAGUUUAUAUCGAGAAACGUUACAAGUGAUUUGUGUUAAUAAAGUUGAAUAACAUCCUUCUUCGGACAAUAAUAAUGUGAAUAUAUAUUUUGAAAAAGUCUAAUUCAUUUUCAUAAAAAGUAUCUUAUUUUAAAGUUCUAUCUUUUUCAAAUUGAAAGAGAGCCUCAUUUAUAACUGAGUGAAGAAAAACUAGCAAAAUAAGAAAGUAAUAUCUUCUCCCAAGUAAAAGUGGACAGGAUUCUUUCUGCGUAUGUAAUUUAGUAAAAGAUGUGCUUUUCUUAAGCUGGAUAAAGUGCCCAGUAUUUCACGACACUUGAUGUUUAUCUAAGAUAAUAGCCAA